GCCGCGCCACCUCGCGGUUCCACAGCAGGGACAUGCGCGACCCGUUACAGCCAACUGAAAUCUGCACAGAUUCGAUUACAUGCGCACGUAUAUAUGCAGUGCAUGCAGAGUAUAUAUGCAGUGCGUGCAGUGUGUGCGCUCUGUUCCUGGAUUCGGUCGCGCGCUGCCGUGCAGCGGAACCGCGCGGUGGCGCGGCGGCGGCCUGCGGGACCGCGCGGUCGCGCGCAGCCAAGC
rnacentral:miRNA from 1 species